UACAGAGGUCCCAAGCGUUGUUCGGAUUUACUGGGCGUAAAGGGUGCGUAGGUGGCGGGGCAAGUCUGGUGUGAAAGCUCCGAGCUUAACUCGGAAAAGCAUUGGAAACUAUCCCGCUGGAGGGUCGGAGGGGAGACUGGAAUUCUCGGUGUAGCAGUGAAAUGCGUAGAUAUCGAGAGGAACACCAGUGGCGAAGGCGACUACCUGGCCUGUUCUUGACGCUGAGGCGCGAAAGCUAGGGGAGCAAACGGG
rnacentral:rRNA from 1 species